UAAUUUGUAUUUUAUAUUUGUUUUAUUAAAGAUUUAGAUUAAAGUAUUAAAUUAAUAUAUCAAUACUAAUAAUGUUUUUGAUUCAAAAAUGCACUUGUAAAUUCAAAAUACCUCCCAUAAGCGGAAGAUCUUUGGCGGUUGGUUUGACCAUGGUAUUGAGGAACAAUCAAUCCUUAAACAAAGGAAAGAAUAUUUAAAUGUUAGGCAAAGUGAAAUGGUUUGAUAAUAAAACAUAGUGAAAAAGGUCUCAAUGGAUAAAAUCGAACCAUGAGAUUAAUUACAAACUAAAAUCUUAUAAAGCCAAAAAAAAACUAAAUAUUUUAUAUGACCGAUAGACGUGAACUACAAUUGUAGUAGCUUAGCAGGCAGGAACUAUUAUAUUAAAUCAAAAUUUUUUGGCGGAGACCAAUAGCUAAAGACGGAAGAUUGUCGGUCUAUGUUUAAUCUUAACCAACUAAAAUCUUAUACGUUUGUUCGCAC
rnacentral:lncRNA from 1 species